AAUAACCGAAAAUAAUGUUGGGGCUAAGAGUCAAAUUUGUGAUUUUUCUAACAUCUCCUCCACCUGGAGCCCAGGUAUCGUAUAUACCGCCGAAAAACAAAGCUUUAAAUACGAGAAGAAAAGCGCCAGCCCCCAGUAGAAUGAGGUGAAUACCCAAAAUGGUGGUCAUUUUAUUCCUAUCUUUCCA
rnacentral:antisense_RNA from 1 species